rnacentral:rRNA from 1 species
AUAUUAACCAAAUUUAAGUUAAUUUAAGCAAUAUCGGUCCUUUCGUUCUAAGAUUUUAUAAAAUAUUGAAGAUAGGAAACCAACCCGGUCACGCCGGGUUGACCACCCAAAUCGUGGUAAG